AUUACGCUGUUACCACAUUCAGAUACUUGGAAAUCAGCCUUAAAAUCCAGGAUGUGAGAAGGAAAUGAGCAAACGCAUCCUGCUGUUGUUCUGCCUGCUUAGGGAUUGCAAGGCAAAUGUGUCCAUGCAGGUCCAGCCGUUUUGCCCGCUCUCUAGGAAAGAAGAUCCUGUUCACGUAAAAUCAAAACUGUAUGGAGAAGGAACUAGACUGUGCCUCCCACAAGACAUUGGCUGUCACCUCCUCUCUGCCUCCACAGACGCAGGAAACUCCUGGGAAAUUGUUUCUGAAGUAAACGAACCCUGGAGCCACAAUGCCACUUGGACAGGAUUUAUGGACAGCUUUUCAAAACAAGCAGGCGAAAAAUGCAUGUGCAUCCAAAGGAAGCUUGGGCAAAGAUGGCUUUGGUUUUCUUCUUUGUUUUUGUUUACUGGUAAAAAGUUGAACUUUUAAAUAAAUGAAUAA